ACAUGAAAUAACCAUUUUAUCCUUAUAAAUUUGUCCCUACAAAAACCUAUCUUCUUCCUCUCUCUCCUCUCGCCUUUACCACCGACCGCGUGGCAUAUUGUCGGAUCGUUGGUACUAACCAUUAAUCCCAAAAGAUCGAGCUAUUAGAAAUAUACAACCAAUUCUCUUAAAGUGUACAGAUACAACGCCCAUAGGUCUCGAUUGUGACUCGGCCCAAUUAGCCUCACGCCACUUCGAACAUGACUCAGCCCAACCCAGCCUCACGCCCCACCACAGGGCAGGAUGCUAGCCCAUUUAAGCCAACAAUUCCCUCUCCAGCACCUAUACAUAU
rnacentral:lncRNA from 1 species